AGAAUCAACGCUGGCGGCGUGCCUAACACAUGCAAGUCGAACGAGAAAGGGGAGCAAUCCCUGAGUAAAGUGGCGACCGGGUGAGUAACACGUGACUAACCUACCCUCGAGUGUGGAAUAACAUCGGGAAACCGAUGCUAAUACCGCAUAACAUCGGCGCUUUUAAGAGAUGCCGAUCAAAGGAGCAAUCCGCUUGAGGAGGGGGUCGCGGCUGAUUAGCUAGUUGGCGGGGUAAUGGCCCACCAAGACAGUGAUCGGUA
rnacentral:rRNA from 1 species